UACGGAGGGUGCAAGCGUUGCUCGGAAUUAUUGGGCGUAAAGGGUAGGUAGGUGGUCUUAUUUGUCUGGGGUGAAAGCCUUGAGCUUAACUCAAGAAGUGCCCCAGAAACGGUAAGACUCGAGUCCUGGAGAGGGUCGUGGAAUUCCCGGUGUAGCGGUGAAAUGCGUAGAGAUCGGGAGGAACACCAGAGGCGAAGGCGGCGACCUGGACAGGCACUGACACUCAACUACGAAAGCGUGGGGAGCAAACAGG
rnacentral:rRNA from 1 species